UACGUAGGGUGCGAGCGUUAUUCGGAAUUACUGGGCGUAAAGCGUGCGCAGGCGGUUCGUUGUGUCUGAUGUGAAAGCCCCGGGCUCAACCUGGGAAUGGCAUUGGAAACUGGCGAGCUAGAGUGUGGCAGAGGGGGGUGGAAUUCCGCGUGUAGCAGUGAAAUGCGUAGAGAUGCGGAGGAACACCGAUGGCGAAGGCAGCCCCCUGGGCUGACACUGACGCUCAGGCACGAAAGCGUAGGGAGCAAACAGG
rnacentral:rRNA from 1 species